UACGGAGGGUGCAAGCGUUACUCGGAAUCACUGGGCGUAAAGCGCGCGCAGGCGGCUAGAUAAGUUGGAAGUGAAAUCCUAUGGCUCAACCAUAGAACUGCUUCCAAAACUGUUUAGCUAGAGUCUGGGAGGGGAAGAUGGAAUUAGUAGUGUAGGGGUAAAAUCCGUAGAGAUUACUAGGAAUACCAAAAGCGAAGGCGAUCUUCUGGAACAGUACUGACGCUGAGGCGCGAAAGCGUGGGGAGCAAACAGGAUUAGAUACCCUGGUAGUCCACGCCCUAAACGAUGAAUGUUAGUCGUCGGGACUCUAGUAGUUUCGGUGAUGCAGUUAACACAUUAAACAUUCCGCCUGGGGAGUACGGUCGCAAGAUUAAAACUCAAAGGAAUAGACGGGGACCCGCACAAGUGGUGGAGCAUGUGGUUUAAUUCGAAGAUACGCGAAGAACCUUACCUAGCCUUGACAUAUUUUAGAACUCCGCAGAGAUGUAGAGGUGCCUUCGGGAGCUAAUAUACAGGUGCUGCACGGCUGUCGUCAGCUCGUGUCGUGAGAUGUUGGGUUAAGUCCCGCAACGAGCGCAACCCUCGUUCUUAGUUACUAACGGUUCGGCCGAGGACUCUAAGAAGACUGCCUUCGUAAGGAGGAGGAAGGUGAGGACGACGUCAAGUCAUCAUGGCCCUUACGGCUAGGGCAACACGCGUGCUACAAUGGUUAGGACAAUGAGACGCAAUACCGCGAGGUGGAGCAAAUCUAUAAACCUAAUCUCAGUUCGGAUUGUAGUCUGCAACUCGACUACAUGAAGCUGGAAUCACUAGUAAUCGUAGAUCAGCUAUGCUACG
rnacentral:rRNA from 1 species